CAAAACCAAAACCCACCAAAAUCGGCACCCACCAUAGCAUCAAUUGCUUCCAAAUUCCAAUACCACUCGAAUCUAAACGAGCUCUAAUUUUUUAAAUUGGAAUAGUAUCAACUAUCAAGUCAUAUUUUCUUCUUCCGUUCGGUUAGGAAUUAGCAAGUAAAUUGGAUGAGUUUUUUUCCUCGCCCAUAAAGUUAAAGUAACCAAUAAUUAGCAUAAGAUUUACUCACGCGAGAGCCAUGGCUAAAAAAGCAGUAGAAAAGGAGGAGCAUAACAUAGUGGUGGAGCUGGGUUCAUAUAAAGGGAAAUUGAGAGUGUAAAUACUAGUAAUUAUUCUGAAGAUUAUGUAAUUGAGGAGAUUACGCUUCUGUGGGGAAUUCAACAGCCCCUUCUGUCCAAGAACAACGCCUUUGUCGCACAAUCCUCUCUUCAAAUCCGCAUUGACGCAUGUGGCCGAUCUCUCUCAUCUCUAGUCCCCUUCAUCUUUGGUUUGUACAUUUUUUACUUGUUUAUGUAUUAAAAUUCUGGUGAUUCUUGGUCAACUGGUGGUUGUCGAUUUUUUUGGGGGUGGGUGGAGAAGAAGAUAAAUAGUGUCUUUGUUUUUUUAUUUAAUUAUUAAUACAUUGUAAUUAUAUUUUUUGUUGAAAAAUGUAAAGUUGCCAAUUUAUCAUUUU
rnacentral:lncRNA from 1 species